AUUGAACGCUGGCGGCAUGCCUUACACAUGCAAGUCGAACGGCAGCACGGGUGCUUGCACCUGGUGGCGAGUGGCGAACGGGUGAGUAAUACAUCGGAACAUGUCCUGUAGUGGGGGAUAGCCCGGCGAAAGCCGGAUUAAUACCGCAUACGAUCUACGGCUGAAAGCGGGGGACCUUCGGGCCUCGCGCUAUAGGGUUGGCCGAUGGCUGAUUAGCUAGUUGGUGGGGUAAAGGCCUACCAAGGCGACGAUCAGUAGCUGGUCUGAGAGGACGACCAGCCACACGGGGACUGAGACACGGCCCAGACUCCUACGGGAGGCAGCAGUGGGGAAUUUUGGACAAUGGGCGAAAGCCUGAUCCAGCAAUGCCGCGUGUGUGAAGAAGGCCUUCGGGUUGUAAAGCACUUUUGUCCGGAAAGAAAUCCUUGGCCCUAAUACGGUCGGGGGAUGACGGUACCGGAAGAAUAAGCACCGGCUAACUACGUG
rnacentral:rRNA from 1 species